AAACAAUUUCGCUGUUAUCCCUAAAGCAACUUUAACUUUUAAUUUUUUCACAAAACCAAAUCAACUUCUAUUUUCAUAAAAUUAAAAAAAAAAAUGAGGUUCAAUAAUCUCAUCAACCGCCCCAGCUAAAAUAAUUAUAAACAUUUAAAUCUUCUUCCAUCUAUAAUUUUAACAAAGAUUUUAUAGGGUCUUCUCGUCCUCCUAAAAAAUUUUAACUUUUUCAUAAAAAAAUAAAAUUCAAUUCCAAUAAAAUUGAGACAAUUAGAACCUCAUUCAUUCGUUCAUUCGAUCUUACAAUUAAUAAACUAAUUAUUAUGUACCCUUUGCAA
rnacentral:rRNA from 1 species